rnacentral:rRNA from 1 species
UACGAAGGGUGCAAACGUUGCUCGGAAUUAUUGGGCGUAAAGAGCGUGUAGGCGGCUAGAUAGGUCCGUUGUGAAAACUCGAGGCUCAACCUCGAGACGUCGAUGGAAACCAUCUGGCUAGAGUCCGGAAGAGGAGAGUGGAAUUCCUGGUGUAGCGGUGAAAUGCGCAGAUAUCAGGAAGAACACCCGUGGCGAAGGCGGCUCUCUGGUACGUGACUGACGCUGAGACGCGAAAGCGUGGGGAGCGAACAGG